AGGAGAGAUAAGAUGGCAGUGCAAGAAAGAGGAAAGUUUGGUGUGUUUUGUGAGUACUUCAGGGAUUAACAAACAAAAGCCACCAGCUUUUCCUCAUAAGGCCUACUUAUGAACAUGGCAGACCGGUGGAUCAAGCAUAUUCAAAAAAGGAUCUAAUAGACUCUAAGAAAAGUGGAUUAACCCUCAGGUAUCUGGAAGAAGGAGGCCUGUACCUGCUGCUCCUCCAACAUGGCUGCUGAGGGACCCGCCAGUCCAUCUAUUCUGCGCCAGAAGCCAUCAAUCCUCCACAUCUGUCAGUCGUGUUGCUUCCUGUAAGUGCCACAAGCAGCGGAACACACUAAAUGAAUAAAAACAAGAUUGAGAAUGAA